UACGUAGGAUGCAAGCGUUGUUCGGAAUUACUGGGCGUAAAGGGCUUGUAGGUGGCCAACUAAGUCAGACGUGAAAUCCCCCGGCUUAACCGGGGAACUGCGUCUGAUACUGGAUGGCUAGAGAUUGGGAGAGGGACGCGGAAUUCCAGGUGUAGCGGUGAAAUGCGUAGAUAUCUGGAGGAACACCGGUGGCGAAGGCGGCGUCCUGGACCAACACUGACACUGAAAAGCGAAAGCCAGGGGAGCAAACGGG
rnacentral:rRNA from 1 species